rnacentral:rRNA from 1 species
GGAUGCAAUCAUAUCAGCACUAACGCAUCAAAUUUCAAAACUCCGAAUUAAGCGCACUUAGGCGAAAGUAGUACUAAGACGAGUGACUCUCUCGAAAGUCUUCGUGUUGUAUCCC